UACGUAGGUGGCAAGCGUUGUUCGGAAUUAUUGGGCGUAAAGGGCGCGUAGGCGGUUUGUUAAGUCAGCUGUGAAAGCCCGGGGCUCAACCCCGGAGAGUCGGCUGAUACUGGCAAACUUGAGUACGGAAGAGGUAGCUGGAAUUCCCGGUGUAGCGGUUAAAUGCGUAGAUAUCGGGAGGAACACCUGAGGCGAAGGCGGGCUACUGGGCUGAUACUGACGCUGAGGCGCGAAAGCUAGGGGAGCAAACAGG
rnacentral:rRNA from 1 species